AAAUUCAAAGCAGCUGCUUAAUUAGACACAUGCAUAACAAAUCUUUAGAACAUCUCUUCGUUUUGCGUCAACAUCCAUAGAGCGAAUCACGUCAUAAGUCUUAGGUCAGUGUAAACAAUAGAUGCAGAGGCAGAUAAUGCGUCCUGGGGUGCGUCGAACUUUGAGAGCGCCUAUGUGAAAUAAUUUUAGAGCAGGCGAUUAUCGUAAAGUGAAGGAUUUAAACAACCCUUACAAAAUGAGGGUUUUUCACGAUUUAUUUGAUAGUGGUAAUGAAAAAUUAAAGAAGUCGACUGAUACACUGGCGCUUGUGCUCACAGAUUAACUGUUAGUCUUGAUUGGAGUGAAAACAUCUUUUUUGCCUAAACCAGAAGAAAUGGAAACUAUUUUAUGCCAAAAAUAUGAAGGUCCUCGAUUUAUAUUGUUUGAUCGUCUGGUUAUUCGCAAGGGUGGAGUUCAAAUGCAGGAAAAAUUAAUUUCUGCGGUCUGCGGCAAUACCUAAAAGAAAGAACCUUUCAUUUCAGAAGUUAAUGUGUGUAAGUUAUCUUUUCCUGGCAAGAUAUUUAAAAGAAAUGAUAAUCCUGUCGCUCUCGCGCGAGUAAGGCGUAUUGUUCACAUGUAACUUAACAAGAGACCUAUGAUUAGCUCUAAGGGCAUUGUAAUUUCGUUAAAUUGAA